GUGCACUCCCCGCGCGGGUCCGAGAGCGGCCCUUCCCAGCCCCGAGGGUGACGGUGCUGGGAAGGACAGGGGGAAGACGAGGAGGAGAAGGAGCAUGUUGUCCCAACCCAGGUGUCCUGGCGCGCCCCGCCAGUGUAUAGGCGGUGUCUUACAAGAGUGUAAUAGGGAUGCCCGGUGUUGAGAAAGGAACGGAGCAGGGGAAAUAAUCUCGGAGGCUGCUGAAGCAGGUGGAGCUUGCAGGGGGCUGGGAAGCAGAGGCUGCAGGCAUCCAAACCCUGAGCAAGGAAUCCAGCACUUGUGAAAAGUGCCAGCAGUGGUGUGGGACUAGCAUACCUCACUGUGGGAGGCACAGCUGGGUUUGUCAAAAGUGCUUUACGAUUAUUAUUAUUAUUUAAAAGAACCUAAAUUGUCUUUCCAUAUCCCUUCCUCUUAUGGGACAAUAGUGUUUGCUUAUGCUACCUAAUUCAGUCACUCAGCUUGAGUGGAUUUCCCUGCCUUCCUCACACCCACUGCCUCUAGAACAAGUACCUGCUCUGAAUUUCCUCUCAGUUCGUUCUCACCACCUGUUGGUGGCCCUGCAAGUUGUUACCAUACACCACAAAUUCACAAGCUAAACUUCAUGCAAACUCCAGAGAUCCUUUCCAGGAAACUCUAGAGCAGGGGACCAGAAGUGCCUUCGCCCCACCCCACCCAGACCUCAGUACUCUCAGAGGCAGUUUAUACACUACCCUAUCCCACCUUCCUGAAUUCUACAAGGAUCCAAAUCUGAUUUCUACUGUGGAAUGGAAAGGAAGAUAAAAAGCCACUUACAAAUGUCUUUCUUAAGCUCAAAAUGUCUUUUGGUGGAAAGUCUGCGUAGACCAACAUUGUAUUAAAUCAAAAUUCCUUUCCAUCAACAAAAACAAGUGGUUACUACCUAAGAGAAAGAGUAUGUAUUUCAGAAUAUUUCUGGGGUUCUAUUAACAGUUCAUUCUCUUGACAAGUUGAAUGAUCUGGAGUAAAUCACUUGACCUCCAAUUCCAUGUUUUAAAUCAGUAAAAUUGGGUUAACAAAGUAAAUUUUAUAGUUAAAUGAGACAGUGGCAGGAAAGAAAUAUACUAUGCUGGUAGCAUAUAUCAGUUUCCCUUUAUCUUUCUUUCCCCUUAGCUUCACUCAAACUCAUCAUUCUGUAAAAAAAAAGAAAAAAAAAAACCUAAAAAUGGAAUCACUAACCAUCCUAGGACCACUUCCAGUGGGAUGUGCUUGCUAACUCGAUUGUCCUGCAGUGCUUCACGCAGUCCUCAGGGACAAUUACAUUAUCACCAGAUAAGACUGCUCAUAUAAGUGCUCAUGGUCAUCUGUAUUCAGGUUAUCUGGUGUUUAAAUAACAGUUAAGCUCCAAAUAUCUUUUCUUACUUAUCAACUACACAGAAACAUACAUAACAGCUUCCCAAAAGACUAAAAGAGAGGCAACCUUCAUCAACUUGCGUGGUCAGUUUCAGUUCAUAUGGUUUUCUCAAGCUUGAUCUCUUAAGAUGACAUUGAUCAUGUUUCAGCUCUUCCCCAGGGCCUCCCCAGAGCACAAUGCCCCCCAAACUCCAAAAGUUCCUUGAAGCCAAUUGGAUUUCUCUAAGAAUCAGUUCCAGUAAGGUGAAGCAUGAGGAAGUGCAACUCGAAGAACUAGGUCUAUCCUAAGAGAGCAUUAUGAGCACAGAGCUUGCUGGAGGUUAUCACUGAAGUAAAAACAGACUCUAAGAGUGUUCAGGGGACCAGAUAGCAAGCCUCACAUUACAGACUCAAUACAGUGUCUGCACUGUGUAUCAUGUACCCUAAGUAUGCAGGCAUAACCUUCUGUGGAUAACAUGCAAUAUUAUACUGAGUGCAUAAAAUAUUCUGCAAGUGUGCUUAAUUUGAAGAAUUAUGGAAAUGUGAUAUGAAUCAAAGCAUAAUGUUGGGCAUAUUGUGGGGAGGGUCAAU